UACGUAGGUGGCAAGCGUUGUCCGGAAUUCUUUGGCGUAAAGCGCGCGCAGGCGGUCCUUUAAGUCUGAUGUGAAAGCCCACGGCUCAACCGUGGAGGGUCAUUGGAAACUGGGGGACUUGAGUGCAGGAGAGAAGAGUGGAAUUCCACGUGUAGCGGUGAAAUGCGUAGAGAUGUGGAGGAACACCAGUGGCGAAGGCGACUCUUUGGCCUGUAACUGACGCUGAGGCGCGAAAGCGUGGGGAGCAAACAGG
rnacentral:rRNA from 1 species